rnacentral:tRNA from 1 species
UGCUUAGGUGGCUUAAAUAAAGCGUUAACUUGUGGCGUUAAAGAUGCCCUGUUUGGGCCCUGGGUAU